UGGGAUUAGAUACCCCACUAUGCCAUACCGUAAACCCCACUUACAUUUCAUACGCCAGGGUACUACGAGCUUUAGCUUAAAACCCAAAGGAUUUGACGGUGUUCCAUCCAACUAGAGGAGCCUGUUCUAUAAUCGAUUUCCCACGAUCCACCUAACCAUUUUUUGCCUAUCAGCCUGUAUACCUCCGUCGUAAGCUUACCAUAUGAAUGAAAAAAAGUGGGCUAAAGGACUUAGAGCCAAAACGUCAGGUCAAGGUGCAGCUUAUGAAAUGGAAAGAAAUGAGCUACAAUUUCUAACAUAGAACACACGAAUUACUUCAUGAAACAAAGUUAUGAAGGCGGAUUUAGCAGUAAGUAGGGAAUAGAGAGCCUUACUAAAUCUGGCUAUGGAACGUGUACACACCGCCCGUCACCC
rnacentral:rRNA from 1 species